rnacentral:rRNA from 1 species
UACAGAGGGGGCAAGCGUUGUUCGGAAUUACUGGGCGUAAAGGACGCGUAGGCGGGAUGGCAAGUCGGUCGUGAAAUCCCUCGGCUCAACCGAGGAACGUCGAUCGAUACUGCUGUUCUUGAGGAUUGCAGAGGAGACUGGAAUUCCUGGUGUAGCGGUGAAAUGCGCAGAUAUCAGGAGGAACACCGGUGGCGAAGGCGGUGGUCUGGGCCGGCACUGACGCUGAGGAGCGAAAGCGUGGGGAGCAAACAGG